UUUAGAACACCACCAGUCACCACAUUCCUUAUUGUUCUUUUUAGUUUUGUUCACUUUCCGAGGACACACAUCGCAGUCUUCUUCAGUACCGAGUCACAUACUUUCCAUAUUUUUCAUAACAGUUCGAACUCUUUAUUUUACACUUCGAACUUUUCUGCGUGCACUGGAGUCUGAACUUCAGUUUCCAUUCCAAAUUUUACCUAAUUAUCAUCUCUACACUUGAUUUAUACCCUGCCUAACACCACUGGGGCUAUAUCAUUACCGUCUUAUCCCCAACAAUCACCCAACUAAUAUCAUCAAGGUUUCCCUCAAAUAUAAGCAAGAUGAGAGGCUUCACGAGUCCCAGGCUAGCGUUACUUCUUGCUACAAUAACAAUGAUUGUCUGGUCUGACAUGGAAUGCUAUAGGUGUAUCGACUUAGUUGUGGACAAGGAGAAUGUAACUGUACCAGAGAUAUCGCAGUGUGAGUUGUACAAGAGGUUACCAUGUGACAGGAUGACCCACCGCUGCUAUCAGUUUAUCUUCAACUUUACGCUGACAGAGAACGUUAGCCAGGUCGGCCUCUACUCCUACCACGACCCUUUUGUCAAGGUGAACUACUGGGACUGUUUUCCAUACGAGUUUGGUUGUGACGAAGUGCUACCACAAGUUCAGGGACUGACCAGCGAUCCCCGCGCCACCGAAGGACUCAGGUGCGACCAAUUUCCUAGGAGUGCUGAGGCCUUGUAUCGACCUAAUACAAUGAGUGGAGUGAGCCGAUUGCAGGGGAGUCUUGUGUUAGUUGUUGGGAUGGUUUUGCGAUUUCUGGGGGCGUGGUGAAUGAAGGUAAACAAACGAUAAAAGUUCGAACUUCGGAGCUUGACAUCGUGCUUUAUUGAGAUGGCCAAGAUGAUGUUAAAUUGUUUCUUUUUGAGAUGAGGAUCAAGACAUGGGUUCGUUUGAAGAAAAGACAAAUUUUGAUUUGAAAACAAGAUGUUAUGACAAGAUGGAGAUGAAAUGAACAAUUUAAGAGAUAUAACUUUAUCCUAAAUAUUGAAGACUUUUACACCUUGAACACGUGGGCUAACGUCUUAUUGAAAAGUCACUGGUUUGCUAUUUAAUUUAUGUUGUAUUCACUUUCUGACAUGUAAA